rnacentral:lncRNA from 1 species
CCUCUCUUGACGGUGGGAGGAGCUGCCAGGCCCGCACCGCGCGCUUCUCCUGCGGCCACCGCCCCCGGGGCGACCAGAGGUGGUAAUGGACUCUUUGUGAAAAAUGAAGAAUUACGGCUUGAGUCCGCACUGUGCACGCGCACGUGCCUGUCAGAGGAGAGGCAACCCUACCCUGAACGAAUGUGUUGCCGCCGGGGACUCGGCCGCGGUUCACAGAAGUGAUGGGUGCGCGGCGCCAGGGUCCCGGCUCAGCCGGGCAGAGGGCGGGGCGGGGAAGAAUGAUGCGAUCCUCCGCGUCCGCAGUCUGCACGUGGACGCCGGGCUGCUGGGGGCCGGGACUGCGCUUCGCAGAGCACAGCGAUCCACCGUGUGCCUCGGCGCCCUCGGAGGUGCUGGUCACCCAGACCCCGUGGGACGGUGCAGAUGCCCUCGGCUUGAGCAACUUCAGUGCUGGGUUACCAAGACACACCAGCUUCCAGGCUGCUGAUCUUUCUGGAAAGUUUUUUAACUGUGGAGGAGAAAGGAAACCUUAUAGUUUUAGAAGCUGGAACUGCCUCGAGGGCGAGGCAAAAAGGUGGAGGGGACUGGAGGAACAUAUAAGGUCCUAAGGGCUUCUGAACCCCAACCAGGUCAGCUCAGAAUGGCUUCAGCCAACAUGCCCCAUGGAAGGGAAGAAGCAGUAAGUAGUAACUCAUGUUUAUAGAGCACUUUAUACUGUACUAAGUGCUUUCAUAUUUGUUAAUGUCUUUGAUCUUCAUCACCACCUCCUUUAGGUUAAGUAUUAGCUCACGUCUUUGGACAAGGACAAGUCAGAAGGUGAGAGGGAAGGUAGGAAAAACAUUUGAAAAGAACAGGAAGGAGGACCUGCUUGUUGGUUCAUUCAUGCACUCAUUGCACAAAUAUUUAUUGGCUACCACAGUGUGUCAGCUGGGGAGACAACAGUUAAUGAGGGCAGUCAUGGUCUUAAGUCCUUUAUGAGCUUAGAGUCUAGCAAACAUUUCUUCACUACCUGCCCCUGGCAAAGCACUAUUGGUGAAAUCCAAGUGUGCAUCAGCCUGCUUACCGGAAGGUUUUCCAGGUCUGAAA